rnacentral:misc_RNA from 1 species
AAGACUGCAUUUUUCUCUACACCCACUACUACUUCUUUAGUCUAAAGCAGAGAUGAGUGAAAACCCACCUCCCAGAUUCUUCAACACAAUGACCCAUUUGAAGAUUUUCAAGAAACUCAAGCCUUUUGAGCCUUCACCAGGUGUUCUUGGCUGCUUCUUUUUCACCGUUUGCUUAUUCUUGUAUCUCUUCUUGUUGGAUUAUACAACAGUAAACAAAGUGCCUCGGUUGCAUCAGCCAUCCUUGUUAGCUACUUGGGUUGGGAUAAAUGGAUCAUCUUUGUCCUAUAACAAGGUUGAUUUUUU